rnacentral:rRNA from 1 species
GAUCCAGACUUUGAUUAUGGCUCAGGAUGAACGCUAGCGGCAGGCCUAACACAUGCAAGUCGAGGGGCAUCACGAGGUAGCAAUACUUUGGUGGCGACCGGCGCACGGGUGCGUAACGCGUAUGUAACCUACCUAUAACAGGGGCAUAACACUGAGAAAUUGGUACUAAUUCCCCAUAAUAUUCGGAGAGGCAUCUCUCCGGGUUGAAAACUCCGGUGGUUAUAGAUGGACAUGCGUUGUAUUAGCUAGUUGGUGAGGUAACGGCUCACCAAGGCAACGAUACAUAGGGGGACUGAGAGGUUAACCCCCCACACUGGUACUGAGACACGGACCAGACUCCUACGGGAGGCAGCAGUGAGGAAUAUUGGUCAAUGGACGCAAGUCUGAACCAGCCAUGCCGCGUGCAGGAAGACGGCUCUAUGAGUUGUAAACUGCUUUUGUACGAGGGUAAACUCACCUACGUGUAGGUGACUGAAAGUAUCGUACGAAUAAGGAUCGGCUAACUCCGUGCCAGCAGCCGCGGUAAUACGGAGGAUUCAAGCGUUAUCCGGAUUUAUUGGGUUUAAAGGGUGCGUAGG